AAAUCAGGCAAGUUUAUUUAAGACAAACAAUUUUUAUAGAUCUUAUAGAAAUGAAAAUGUACAUGAAAGAACACAAGACAUCAAACAAUAUAUUGAUUUGAAUGUGUAUCAUUCAUACCUCCAAAAACGAGUUCAUUAUAUAGGGAAUCACUGAAGCAUGACUGGAGUGCCCCCUUUUUUUAGGUCAGUCAGUGGGACCACCUUAUUAAAAGUACUGGAUCUCCCACUGAUUAAACAUGUUUGUGAAUGCUCAACAAUGUGCUAACCUGGGACAAUAAGAAUUAACUGGGAAAAUAUGGUUCUUUUGGCUUCAUACACUAGAUUUGUACGAGGCACAUAAAAAACAACUAAUAUAGAAAGUAGACACAAAUAAAUAAAUCAUGUUUUUUUAACUGAAGUAUUAUUAAUAUUCACAGACCAAUUGAUUUUCAUGGGGUGGAGCCAUGGAUUUUAUAUGAAGCUAAAUUUUUAAGCAAGACAAACUUUUGUUUUUUACAUCAUUCAUAUCCUAUUUGCCAAAAUACAGAAUAUUUUUGUGUAACUGAAUAUGUAGGUUAGAUUAAACAUUGUAGAUCAGCUUUGGGUUUGUCCAUAAGGAUUGAGACUGGAAAUAGCAAUUGAAUCAGACUUUUAAAGCUGAUGUGAGGACUGAUUCCAUGGUGUUGGAAGUAAGAACUGGUGAUUUGAUACUGCUAACAUAUUGGUUAACAUCACAGCUUGUCCUUUUGGAUACUGGCUUGAGAAGAAUUUGGAUUUUUUUGAGGUGCCCUUGUGUGGUCAAUCCAAUGGACAAUAACCAUCAUGCAGACAAGAUAUAUAUUGCUUUUUUGUUCAAUAAAAUAUUUAAAUGAGAAUUCUGAAAGCCAAAUGAUUCAUUUUUUUAUGCUGUUAUUUUUUCUAUUUACUGUAAAUUAACAAAUUGUUGUUUUGAAUGCUGUUAUUCAUUUGGCUCAAAUGUAGGAUACAGAUAUUUAGUUCCGGCUUUUGAUAUGUAUUCCUAUGCAAAUAAAAAACUUGUAUUAUAGUUAUAAAAAUAGUUAAUUUAUACUUAUCAUUUUGGAAAAUUAUAAUUGUAAUGGUUGACAAUUUGAUAGAAUAAAAAAGUCUUUUAUGGUUGACUGUAAGCUAAUUUUUGCCGAAAUUACUGGCUUUGGACUUUGAGAAAUUAUUGAAAAUCGAAGUCAUACAGAUUUUUUUCUAUAAGCCUCCAGAUUUUGAGCUUAUUUUUAAUAUGUGAGACUACCAUCAUGUUAAUGUCCACAUGUGUUAUUGAAAUUGCAGAUUUUACAAUUUUUUGGGA